AGUGAACGCUGGCGGUAGGCCUAACACAUGCAAGUCGAACGGCAGCACAGGAGAGCUUGCUCUCUGGGUGGCGAGUGGCGGACGGGUGAGGAAUACAUCGGAAUCUACUCUGUCGUGGGGGAUAACGUAGGGAAACUUACGCUAUACCGCAUACGACCUACGGGUGAAAGCAGGGGAUCUUCGGACCUCGCGCGAUUGAAUGAGCCGAUGUCGGAUUAGCUAGUUGGCGGGGUAAAGGCCCACCAAGGCGACGAUCCGUAGCUGGUCUGAGAGGAUGAUCAGCCACACUGGAACUGAGACACGGUCCAGACUCCUACGGGAGGCAGCAGUGGGGAAUAUUGGACAAUGGGCGCAAGCCUGAUCCAGCCAUACCGCGUGGGUGAAGAAGGCCUUCGGGUUGUAAGGCCCUUUUGUUGGGAAAGAAAUCCAGCUGGCUAAUACCCGGUUGGGAUGACGGUACCCAAAGAAUAAGCACCGGCUAACUUCGUGCCAGCCGCCGCCGUAA
rnacentral:rRNA from 1 species